rnacentral:rRNA from 1 species
UUCCGGUUGAUCCUGCCGGACCCGACUGCUAUCAGAGUGGGACUAAGCCAUGCGAGUCAACGCAGCAAUGCGUGGCAUACGGCUCAGUAACACGUAGUCAACAUGCCCAGGGGACGUGGAUAACCUCGGGAAACUGAGGAUAAACCGCGAUAGGCCAAGGUUUCUGGAAUGAACCAUGGCUGAAACCUACAUGGCCCCUGGAUUGGACUGCGGCCGAUCAGGCUGUUGGUGAGGUAAUGGCCCACCAAACCUGUAACCGGUACGGGCUCUGAGAGGAGGAGCCCGGAGAUGGGCACUGAGACAAGGGCCCAGGCCCUAUGGGGCGCAGCAGGCGCGAAACCUCUGCAAUAGGCGAAAGCUUGACAGGGUUACUCUGAGUGAUGUCCGUUAAGGGCAUCUUUUGGCACUUCUAAAAAUAGUGCAGAAUAAGGGGUGGGCAAGUCUGGUGUCAGCCGCCGCGGUAAUACCAGCACCCCGAGUGGUCGGGACGAUUAUUGGGCCUAAAGCAUCCGUAGCCGGUUCUGCAAGUCUUCCGUUAAAUCCACCUGCUCAACAGAUGGGCUGCGGAGGAUACUACAGGGCUAGGAGGCGGGAGAGGCAAGCGGUACUCAGUGGGUAGGGGUAAAAUCCUCUGAUCCGCUGAAGACCACCAGUGGCGAAGGCGGCUUGCCAGAACGCGCUCGACGGUGAGGGAUGAAAGCUGGGGGAGCAAACCGGAUUAGAUACCCGGGUAGUCCCAGCUGUAAACGAUGCAGACUCGGUGAUGGGUUGGCUUUGCGCCAACCCAGUGCCGCAGGGAAGCCGUUAAGUCUGCCGCCUGGGGAGUACGGUCGCAAGACUGAAACUUAAAGGAAUUGGCGGGGGAGCACCACAAGGGGUGAAGCCUGCGGUUCAAUUGGAGUCAACGCCGGA